UACGGAGGAUCCGAGCGUUAUCCGGAUUUAUUGGGUUUAAAGGGUGCGUAGGCGGCCUUGUAAGUCAGGGGUGAAAGACGGUAGCUCAACUAUCGCAGUGCCUUUGAUACUGCAGGGCUUGAAUGUACUUGAGGUAGGCGGAAUGUGACAAGUAGCGGUGAAAUGCGUAGAUAUGUCACAGAACACCAAUUGCGAAGGCAGCUUACUAAAGUAUGAUUGACGCUGAGGCACGAAAGCGUGGGGAUCAAACAGG
rnacentral:rRNA from 1 species